CAAGCCGGACGAGUGACGGUCCGGAGGGAAGAUUUUGACCUCCUCGCCAGCUUGCAGGAUGCCAUGGGUGGACGUCGCUGAAAUUUGCGUCACCUGUCUGUUUGACUUUUCAUCACCUAUUAGUUUGUCAUUACCUGUUCGUCACCAAAGGCCUGUCACCAUUACCUGUUCGUCACCAUCUUGGGAAAAAAAUCGAUAAAAAAGCGGGGGAAAAUUAUUUUUUAUUCAGAUCCUUCUUUUAGCGAGUGCUACACAGAAAUUGGGAAUCUUGCAUAUCCAGAUGAGUGUCUGCUGUCCUUUACCAUAUUGGACUAUUUUCUGCUGUAUAAACUGCACGUAUACUAAAGAAAGCAAAAAAUAGAUAAAUAAAUAAAAAAUCCUUCUUUCAGCGAGUGCAGCACAGAAAUUACCAACUUUGCGUAUCCAGAUCAGUGUCCGCAGGCGUAUACCAUAUUGGACUAUUUUCUUCUCUUUGAACUGCACGUAUGCUGAAGAAAACAAAAAAAAAUGGACUGAAAUCUCUGUCUGUUGCCUGACAAAAUAUUUCCUACUGUCUUGCCUGCCAAAAUGUGGACUGAACUGUCUCACUGUUGCCUGACAAAAUGCGGACUGAACU